UCGGGAAUUUUGGGCAAUGGGCGAAAGCCUGACCCAGCAACGCCGCGUGAAGGAUGAAGUAUUUCGGUAUGUAAACUUCGUAAAAAUAGGAAGAAUAAAUGACGGUACUAUUUGUAAGGUCCGGCUAACUACGUGCCAGCAGCCGCGGUAAUACGUAGGGACCAAGCGUUGUUCGGAUUUACUGGGCGUAAAGGGCGCGUAGGCGGCGUGGUAAGUCACUUGUGAAAUCUCCGAGCUUAACUCGGAACGGUCAAGUGAUACUGCUGUGCUAGAGUACAGAAGGGGCAAUCGGAAUUCUUGGUGUAGCGGUGAAAUGCGUAGAUAUCAAGAGGAACACCUGAGGUGAAGACGGGUUGCUGGGCUGAUACUGACGCUGAGGCGCGAAAGCUAGGGUAGCAAACGGGGAUU
rnacentral:rRNA from 1 species